rnacentral:rRNA from 1 species
AACAAACGCUGGCGGCGUGCCUAAUACAUGCAAGUCGAACGGGGAAAGGCCUUCGGGCCCGGUACUAGUGGCGCACGGGUGAGGAAUACUUGGGUAACCUGCCCUUUAGUGGGGAACAACUAUGGGAAACCGUAGCUAAUACCGCAUAAGACCACAGGAUCUGCGGAUCUAGGGGUUAAAGAUUUAUCGCUAAAGGAUGGGCUCAAGUCCGAUUAGCUUGUUGGUGGGGUAAAGGCCUACCAAGGCUCCGAUCGGUAGCUGGUCUGAGAGGAUGAUCAGCCACACUGGAACUGAGACACGGUCCAG